rnacentral:lncRNA from 1 species
GCAUGAGGAGCCCCCAGCUAGCCCUCCCAUCGGCGCCGCCGCCCCUCCCUGUCCGCUAGGGUUGAGGUCGCACGGCCAUCUCUCCGCCGGCAGGUAACCCCCCUGCCCCCGUCUCUCUCUCUCUCUCUCUCUCUCUCUCUCUGACCGACCUAUUUCUCUGUUGACCAGGGCCGGCUCCUCCGGCGGCAAGGUGCUCCGGCGUGAAGGUGCUCAGAGGUGCCCCUGCUGAUCUCCUCAUGCAACAACAAGAAGCAACCAGGUCUUGGUUCCCGUCCCUCCCCCAAUUGCAUCUUCAGGAACACAUGCAUGUUCUGUUACACACUUGUUCAGUUUCAUACCUACAUAUUACUUGGAUAGCUAGGAUUUCUAGAUGCUAUAUACAAUCUAAUUAUGUGGGCGUACUUCUGCACAAGGAACUCAAGAACCUCUUCUAAAGUUUUUGGGAAGUGGAUUAGUUACUUCUUUCUGUUCCAUACAAGCAAACAAAUAUGCCUUUAUUUACUUUGAUCUAUUCUUUCAAUUUAUUCUCAUCCAGUAAUCCAAUUUGACUGUGCAUCUUACAAGCACAACCUAUACUUUGUUCUGAUGGAAUUUCUUUGAUGGUGUUGUUGCAGAUGUGCAGUGUAUAUGCAUCAACAAGGAGGCACCUGAACAAUAUUUAUUCAAAGCCAGACGCGAAAUAAAAAAAUGAUGCUCAAGUUAACCUCUUGCUAGGAUUUAAUAAUAUUGUUUUUUCUUGCUAAACUUUAUUUUCGUUCUUUUGUUAGGUUGAUGUACUAAAUAAUUAAAACAUAUGUGAGUUGAUUGUUGUACAGUUUUUGCAUCUGUUGUAUGGAGCUGGGACUUACUUAGUAAGAUUUGUUAUGUAAUUAUAAGGUCUGAUUCUGUAACACCAAUAAACUUCCUAGAAAUUUGCGUCUGCUCACUGAAUCUAUGAUACUAAAUUG